rnacentral:rRNA from 1 species
AGAGUUUGAUCAUGGCUCAGAAUGAACGUUGGCGGCGUGGAUUAGGCAUGCAAGUCGAGCGCGAAACCUCCUUCGGGAGGUAGAAAGCGGCGAAAGGGAGAGGAACACGUGGAUUAUCUGCCCCUGGAACCAGGAUAGCUGCGGGAAACUGCAGGUAAUACUGGAUAACGUCUCCGGACCAAAGGUGUGAUUCCGUCCAGGGAUGAGUCCGCGUCCUAUUAGCUAGUUGGCAGGGUAACGGCCUACCAAGGCAAUGAUGGGUACCGGGUGUGAGAGCAUGGCCCGGCUCACUGGGACUGAGACACUGCCCAGACACCUACGGGUGGCUGCAGUCGAGGAUCUUCGGCAAUGGGCGCAAGCCUGACCGAGCGACGCCGCGUGCGGGAUGAAGGCCUUCGGGUUGUAAACCGCUGUCAGAGGGGAUGAAAUGCAGGUGGGUUCUCCCAUUUGUUUGACAUAUCCUCAGAGGAAGUACGGGCUAAGUUCGUGCCAGCAGCCGCGGUAAGACGAACCGUACGAACGUUAUUCGGAAUCACUGGGCUUAAAGGGUGCGUAGGCGGCGCGGAAAGUUGGGUGUGAAAUCCCUCGGCUCAACCGAGGAACUGCGCUCAAAACUGCCGUGCUCGAGGGAGACAGAGGUGAGCGGAACUUAGGGUGGAGCGGUGAAAUGCGUUGAUAUCCUAAGGAACACCGGUGGCGAAAGCGGCUCACUGGGUCUCUUCUGACGCUGAGGCACGAAAGCUAGGGUAGCGAACGGGAUUAGAUACCCUAGUAGUCC